CGGCGAGUGAAGCGGCAACAGCUCAAAUUUGAAAUCUGGCCCCUAGGGCCCGAGUUGUAAUUUGCAGAGGAUGCUUUUGGUGAGGUGCCUUCCGAGUUCCCUGGAACGGGACGCCAUAGAGGGUGAGAGCCCCGUCUGGUUGGACGCCGAGCCUCUGUAAAGCUCCUUCGACGAGUCGAGUAGUUUGGGAAUGCUGCUCUAAAUGGGAGGUAUAUGUCUUCUAAAGCUAAAUACCGGCCAGAGACCGAUAGCGCACAAGUAGAGUGAUCGAAAGAUGAAAAGCACUUUGAAAAGAGGGUUAAACAGUACGUGAAAUUGUUGAAAGGGAAGCGCUCAUGACCAGACUUGGGCCCGGUGAAUCAUCCAGCGUUCUCGCUGGUGCACUUUGCCGGGCUCAGGCCAGCAUCAGUUUGCCCCGGGGGAUAAAGGCUUUGGGAAUGUGGCUCCCUCGGGAGUGUUAUAGCCCAUUGCACAAUACCCUGGGGCGGACUGAGGUUCGCGCAUCUGCAAGGAUGCUGGCGUAAUGGUCAUCAGCGACCCGUCUUGAAACACGGACCAAGGAGUCGUCUUCGUAUGCGAGUGUUCGGGUGUAAAACCCCUACGCGUAAUGAAAGUGAACGUAGGUGAGAGCUUCGGCGCAUCAUCGACCGAUCCUGAUGUUCUCGGAUGGAUUUGAGUAAGAGCAUACGGGGCCGGACCCGAAAGAAGGUGAACUAUGCCUGUAUAGGGUGAAGCCAGAGGAAACUCUGGUGGAGGCUCGCAGCGGUUCUGACGUGCAAAUCGAUCGUCAAAUAUGGGCA
rnacentral:rRNA from 1 species